GAUGAACGCUGGCGGCGUGCCUAAUACAUGCAAGUCGAGCGAAGCGGGGACGGGUGAGUAACACGUGGAUAACCCCCUAUAAGACUGGGAUAACUCCCUGAAACCGGAGCUAUAUCGGACACUUAUAGUUGGAUUCGCGCUGCAUUAGUUAGUUGGUAAGUUAACGGCUUACCAAGGCAACGAUGCAUAGCCGACCGGAGAGGGGGAUCGGCCACACUGGAACUGAGACACGGUCCAGACUCCUACGGGAGGCAGCAGUAGGGAAUCUGCCGCAAUGGGCGAAAGCCUGACGGAGCAACGCCGCGUGAGUGAAGAAGGUCUUCGGAUCGUAAAACUCUGUUAUUAGGGAAGCGGUACCUAAUCAGAAAGCCACGGCUAACUACGUGCCAGCAGCCGCGGUAAUUC
rnacentral:rRNA from 1 species